ACGUAGGGUGCAAGCGUUAAUCGGAAUUACUGGGCGUAAAGCGUGCGCAGGCGGUUAUGUAAGACAGGCGUGAAAUCCCCGAGCUCAACUUGGGAAUUGCGUUUGUGACUGCAUAGCUAGAGUACGGCAGAGGGGGAUGGAAUUCCGCGUGUAGCAGUGAAAUGCGUAGAUAUGCGGAGGAACACCGAUGGCGAAGGCAAUCCCCUGGGCCUGUACUGACGCUCAUGCACGAAAGCGUGGGGAGCAAACAG
rnacentral:rRNA from 1 species